rnacentral:rRNA from 1 species
AGUGGGGAAUAUUGCACAAUGGGGGAAACCCUGAUGCAGCAACGCCGCGUGAGUGAUGAAGGUUUUCGGAUCGUAAAGCUCUGUCUUUGGGGAAGAUAAUGACGGUACCCAAGGAGGAAGCCACGGCUAACUACGUGCCAGCAGCCGCGGUAAUACGUAGGUGGCGAGCGUUAUCCGGAUUUACUGGGCGUAAAGGGAGCGUAGGCGGAUGAUUAAGUGGGAUGUGAAAUACCCGGGCUCAACUUGGGUGCUGCAUUCCAAACUGGUUAUCUAGAGUGCAGGAGAGGAGAGUGGAAUUCCUAGUGUAGCGGUGAAAUGCGUAGAGAUUAGGAAGAACACCAGUGGCGAAGGCGACUCUCUGGACUGUAACUGACGCUGAGGCUCGAAAGCGUGGGGAGCAAACAGGAUUAGAUACCCUGGUAGUCC